CCCGCUGAACUUAAGCAUAUUAUUAAGCGGAGGAAAAGAAACUAACAAGGAUUCCCCUAGUAACGGCGAGUGAAGCGGGAAGAGCUCAAAGUGGAAAUCGAGUGUCCAAACGGGCCCUCGAGUUGUAAUCUAAAGACGCGUGUUCUGCGCGUGACCCAGACAUAAGUCCUUUGGGAGAGGGCAUCAUGGAGGGUGAGAAUCCCGUUCCUGGUCUGGAGAUCGCCGCGUACGAUACGCGUUCGACGAGUCGUGUUGCCUGGGAUCGCAGCACAAAAUGGGUGGUAAUUCUCAUCUAAGGCUAAAUAUUGGCGAGAGACCGAUAGCGAACAAGUAGCGUGAGCGAAAGAUGAAAAGAACUUUGAAAAGAGAGUUAAACAGUACUUGAAAUUGCUAAGAGGGAAGUUAUGGGAACCAGUCCAGCCCAGGGCAUUUUACUGCUCGUUGCGGCGGACCGCAAGGCGUCGGAGGUAAAACCCGUGCUUUGCGGUUGCAGCUGUAUCGUGUAGGUCGUGCAAUGGGAUUGAGUCAGCAUCAAUUCGAUUUGCCGGAGACACUUCAGGGGAAGGUGAGUCACGCGGGGUUCGCCUCGUUGUCGGCUGUUAAGCCCCUAGAGUAUACGGUGGGUUGGAUUGAGGAACAAGGUAGUUAGCUCUAGUUGCCUGCUGCGUAGGCUCGGCUUGGACAGCAAAGCUGUGCGGUCGGGAAUAUGCGGUACUGCAGCUGGUCCGCUAGCUGCCAAUCGGGAUGCUGACGAAAUGGUUUUCAUCGACCCGUCUUGAAACACGG
rnacentral:rRNA from 1 species